UUUUCCAGCUUCGGAGCGCCCUCUGCCAGCUAAUGUCUCACCUGCCGCUGGCCCCUGUGUCCCUCCCAGACCCUGGUGCCCUUUGCCAAGGGGUUCUGCCCACUGUAGCAUCCCACAGACUGGGGCUU